rfam:Rattus norvegicus chromosome 13, whole genome shotgun sequence.
GGGGAUUUAGCUCAGUGGUAGAGCGCUUGCCUAGCAAGCUCGAGGUCCUGGGUUCGGUCCCCAGCUCCG